GCCUUUUAAGCUAGAAAAAGAGGACCCCCAACCCUCCUUAAUGAU
rnacentral:tRNA from 1 species